rnacentral:rRNA from 1 species
CUUUAGUUUGACGCCCCGAAACCAGGUGAGCUACCCCGAGACAGCCUAAGUAACUUAGGGCUAACCCGUCUCUGUGGCAAAAGAGUGGGAAGAGCUCCGGGUAGAAGUGACAGACCUACCGAACCUGGUGAUAGCUGGUUGCCUGAGAAGUGGAUAGAAGUUCAGCCCCAUGCACCCCGAACCAAGGACAUUCUACCUUAAGGUUUUAGGGAUAAACACGGGAGUUAGUUAAAGGGGGUACAGCCCCUAUAACAAAGGACACAACCUUCACAGGAGAAUAAAGAUCACAAUGUACAAGACACCCUGUUCUAGUGGGCCUAAAAGCAGCCACCUAAACAGAAAGCGUUAAAGCUCAGACAGAAGAAAGUUUAUUAUACUGAUAAAAAAAUCUUACUUCCCUAACAAUAUCAGGCUAAUCCAUGCCAACAUGGAAGAAAUUAUGCUAAAAUGAGUAACAAGAAGACCCGCUCUUCUCCAAGCACAAGUGUAAACCAGAUCGGACAAACCACCGGAAAUUAACGAACCCAAACAAAGAGGGCAGUGUGAACAACAAAGAAAUCAGGAAAAUCCCGCAACUAGGCCAUCGUUAACCCCACACUGGAGUGCUAUUUAUAAAGGAAAGACUAAAAGAAAGGGAAGGAACUCGGCAAACACAAGCCUCGCCUGUUUACCAAAAACAUCGCCUCCUGCAACUAUAUUAGGUAUAGGAGGUCCAGCCUGCCCAGUGACUACGGGUUCAACGGCCGCGGUAUUUUGACCGUGCAAAGGUAGCGCAAUCACUUGUCUUUUAAAUAGAGACCUGUAUGAAUGGCUAAACGAGGGCUUAACUGUCUCCCCCUUCUGGUCAGUGAAAUUGAUCUACCCGUGCAGAAGCGGGUGUAACACCACAAGACGAGAAGACCCUUUGGAGCUUAAGGUACAAGAUUCAACCACGUCAAGCGACUUAAUAAGAAGCAGGAACUUAGUGGGAAGUGAAGCUUUACCUUCGGUUGGGGCGACCGCGGAGGAAAAACCAGCCUCCGAGUGGAAUGGGCCAAGUCCCUAAAACUAAGAGAGACAUCUCUAAGCCGCAGAACAUCUGACCAUAAAUGAUCCGGCCCAAGCAGCCGAUCAACGAACCAAGUUACCCUAGGGAUAACAGCGCAAUCCUCUCCCAGAGUCCAUAUCGACGAGGGGGUUUACGACCUCGAUGUUGGAUCAGGACAUCCUAAUGGUGCAGCCG